CAUGCCGCGUGUGUGAAGAAGGCUCUAGGGUUGUAAAGCACUUUCAGUCGGGAGGAAAGGGUAGUAGUUAAUACCUGCUAUCUGUGACGUUACCGACAGAAGAAGCACCGGCUAACUCCGUGCCAGCAGCCGCGGUAAUACGGAGGGUGCGAGCGUUAAUCGGAAUUACUGGGCGUAAAGCGCACGCAGGCGGUCUGUUAAGCUAGAUGUGAAAGCCCCGCGCUCAACGUGGGAGGGUCAUUUAGAACUGGCAGACUAGAGUCUUGGAGAGGGGAGUGGAAUUCCAGGUGUAGCGGUGAAAUGCGUAGAGAUCUGGAGGAACAUCAAUGGCGAAGGCAACUCCCUGGCCAAAGACUGACGCUCAUGUGCGAAAGUGUGGGUAGCGAACAGGAUUAGAUACCCUGGUAGUCCACACCGUAAACGCUGUCUACUAGCUGUUUGUGAAUUUAAUUCGUGAGUAGCGAAGCUAACGCGAUAAGUAGACCGCCUGGGGAGUACGGCCGCAAGGUUAAAACUCAAAUGAAUUGACGGGGGCCCGCACAAGCGGUGGAGCAUGUGGUUUAAUUCGAUGCAACGCGAAGAACCUUACCUACUCUUGACAUACUAGAAACUUUUCAGAGAUGAAUUGGUGCCUUCGGGAAUCUAGAUACAGGUGCUGCAUGGCUGUCGUCAGCUCGUGUCGUGAGAUGUUGGGUUAAGUCCCGCAACGAGCGCAACCCUUGUCCUUAGUUGCCAGCCUUAAGUUGGG
rnacentral:rRNA from 1 species